AUUGAACGCUGGCGGAAUGCUUUACACAUGCAAGUCGAACGGCAGCACGGACUUCGGUCUGGUGGCGAGUGGCGAACGGGUGAGUAAUGUAUCGGAACGUGCCCAGUCGUGGGGGAUAACGAAGUGAAAAUUACGCUAAUACCGCAUACGAUCUAUGGAUGAAAGCGGGGGAUCGCAAGACCUCGCGCGAUUGGAGCGGCCGAUAUCAGAUUAGGUAGUUGGUGGGGUAAAGGCACACCAAGCCAACGAUCUGUAGCUGGUCUGAGAGGACGACAAGACACACUGGAACUGAGACACGGUCCAGAAUCCUACGGGAGGCAGCAGUGGGGAACUUUGGACAAUGGGCGAAAGCCUGAGCCAGCCAUUCCGCGUGCAGGAUGAAGGCCCUCGGGUUGUAAACUGCUUUUGUACAGAACGAAAAGGUUACUACUAAUACUAGGAGCUCAUGACGGUACUGGAAGAAUAAGCACCGGCUAACUACGUGCCAGCCGCCGCAGUAA
rnacentral:rRNA from 1 species